rnacentral:rRNA from 1 species
GGUUGAUCCUGCCAGUAGUCAUAUGCUUGUUUAAAAGAUUAAGCCAUGCAUGUGUAAGUAUGAAGCAUUUCUAGCUUGAAACUGCGAACGGCUCAUUAUUACAGUUAUAAUCUACUUGGUUGUAUUCAAUUUAUUGUGUAGUAGGAUAUUUAAAGUAAUUCUUUAAUUAAUACUUGCAAAAAGAUCUCGACUUGAGAAAAGGAAGAGAAGUAUUUAUUAGAUUCUAAAAUCAGUGUGUGGAGGGUAAAACUUUCAUUCAAAAAAAUUGAUGAUUCAUAAUAACUAGAUGAAG